rnacentral:rRNA from 2 species
GAUGAACGCUGGCGGCGUGCCUAAUACAUGCAAGUCGAACGAGUUCUGAUUAUUGAAAGGUGCUUGCAUCUUGAUUUAAUUUUGAACGAGUGGCGGACGGGUGAGUAACGCGUGGGUAACCUGCCCUUAAGUGGGGGAUAACAUUUGGAAACAGAUGCUAAUACCGCAUAAAUCCAAGAACCGCAUGGUUCUUGGCUGAAAGAUGGCGUAAGCUAUCGCUUUUGGAUGGACCCGCGGCGUAUUAGCUAGUUGGUGAGGUAACGGCUCACCAAGGCAAUGAUACGUAGCCGAACUGAGAGGUUGAUCGGCCACAUUGGGACUGAGACACGGCCCAAACUCCUACGGGAGGCAGCAGUAGGGAAUCUUCCACAAUGGACGCAAGUCUGAUGGAGCAACGCCGCGUGAGUGAAGAAGGCUUUCGGGUCGUAAAACUCUGUUGUUGGAGAAGAAUGGUCGGCAGAGUAACUUCUCUCGG